AUGGAAAAAUCUAUUAAUUUUUUGUUUUAUGUUCAGAUUUCUUUUUAUUUUUAUUUAAAUGUUGGCAUUAUAAAUCUUGAAUGCAGGAAAAACCAUUGGAGUGAUGGUGGCUUAGGUCUUAGGUACCCGCCCUGUAAUGGGAGGGUUGCAGGUUCGAGCCCCACUCAGUCUGUUGCUGUAGUGUCCUUGGGCAAGACACUUCACCUGCCUUGCCUGCUGGUGGUGCCGGUUUUCAGCAGCCCACCUUCAUCUGUGUGCCCCAGGGCAGCUGUGGCUACAUUGUAGCUAAUCACCACCAGCAUGUGAGAAUGGAUGAUUGACUGAUUGUAAAGAACCUUGGGGGGUUAUAGAACCCUAGAAGAUGCUAUAUUGAAUACAAGUCAUUUACCAUUUCCUUUAUUGACUUUGAUCUCUCUUUCCUACUGGCUGAUCCACGACAUAAACCGUCAUCUCCUGAUUGUUUAAUGAUCCCACAGAUCUUUGGCUCAUCAUCACUCUUCAUCUGGGGGUGAGGUUGGAGGGUGGGUGCUGGAGUCAGUUUUAAGAGCCAUCCCAUACCAAAGCAACAGCCAUGUCAACAUGCUCGAAACUUGUGUCCAGAGCGAGCUGGACUCCAUCAGGACUGAUUCUUGUCUCAGAUCCUGUUUACAGUAUUCAUGAAUCUCUACAAGGAUACAAGGGCACUUCUGAAUGGGUGGUAUCUUCAAGCCAUGACCCGAUUCAAUAGUUCUCAAUCUGGAACAAGUGAAAUGUUCCUUCCAGUUUGGAAACUGCAUCAUUUAUGAGAGUGUUGUUCAAGUCUGAAAGUAUUGCUGUCCAUUUACUACUCUAUCUAUGUUCUGACAUAAUCUGUAAAUAUGAGAUUUGGAUCAUGAUUGAAAACAUGAGAUCUCAGAUACAAGCCUCUCAAAUGUGUUUCCUCCAUGGUGGGUUGCAGUGGAGAGGAUUUCUAGACACUGGGAAGACACACCAGUGCAGAUCUGGGUUAUUUUGGGGUACUUCCAUGUCCUCUGGCCUGAGAAUUUAAUUUAAUUUAAUUUAAUUUAAUUUAAUUUAAUUUAAUUUAAUUGGUUGAGACAGUGCAUGUUAAUGAGCAUACAUGAAUUAAAAAAACAUGAAUGUAAACACACCAGAUUAUAGCUGAGGGCUAAUUUCCAUCUGUAGUCCCAAAGGGCCAGUUCGCACAUGGGCCGAAGAAAACAAUUACUCAAGAAAAAACAUGUACCGGUACAUUAAAAACAAUAAUUUCACUUAAGAGUACAUUGGUCAGCACAUUUAACACAUUCACACUCACACACACGUACAAUUCUGUGUUGCUAAAAGAGAAUUAAAAACAUUACAAUUAUACCGCCCCUACAGAUGGGUGCAAUCUUGACUUGUCCAUAACCAGUGUUUGACCUGUGUCUUAAAGGAGCUGAAUGUAGAACACUCUCUCAUAGUUUGUGGGAGUUUAUUCCACAGAUGGCCACCUUGGACAGAUAAAACAUUUUGCCCAAAGGUUGUCCGUUUCUGUGGUAUAAUCAAAUCUCUUCUGGUUGUGGCUCACGUGGUCCUGUCUAAUUUAUCUUUACAUUUAAUGAACUCCUUUAGUGGUGGUGGGGCAAAGGAAUGUAAGACUUUAUAGAUCAGAGUCUUUUAAGAUUCAGCAUAUUAUUAAAGUCCAGUAAUCUAUGCUUUUCUAGAACAUGGCAGUGAUGGUAGGAAACAAGCUUUUUAUCAAGUAUUUUUAGUCCUCUUUUGUAGAGGUUUUCAAUGUUCUUCAGCAAUGUUGGGCAUGCAAGAGACCAAGAAGUCAAGCAAUAGUCUAUAUGGGAGAUAAUCAUAGUGUGAAAGUACAUUUUUGCAGCAUUCAUAUUUAAAUUACUGUGAAUAUGGCUGAAAUUUCGAUUAUUGAAUUUGAUUACCUGGGACACUUUCUUUAAAGGACAAUGUUGGGUCUAAGAUAUAUAGAUAUCUUUAAGAUAUUUAAACUCUGGGACUAAAUCAAGCUGUAAUCCAUUUUAAAAAAGUUUGAUUGCUUCAGAUCUAUGGAACGUUUUGAGAAGUACAUACAAACAGUUUUUUUGGUAUUUAGUACGAGGCACGAGUCAGCUGUGCACCAAUGAUAAAGCAGCUGUGAGAUCUUUGGCAGCUUCCUAUGGUGCUAUUGGCUUGUUUGUAGAUGACUGCAUCGUCUGCAUACAUUUGUGAUAAUAUAUUUGGACACACUUUGGGAAGAUUAUUAAUAAAGAAAGAGAAGACCUUAGGAACCUCCAGGAGGAGCCAGCGAGGAUUUUCAUCCCAACCUUGUGACAGAAAAUGGAUAAACUUCACCUGUCAUCAUGUGAAGUUUUAUGUGAACUUUGUGUCAUUGCAGGUAAAUUCAGUCAGUGGAUGAGCGUUCACUCAAUGGAUUAAACGUUCACACUGCCUUAAAAAUGAGAAGCUUUUGAUUUUGUUAGUUGUGACAUUGAUUUGUUUUUUUAAUUGAGUCCAAAAUGCUGCAAAAUGUAAAUAAUGUGCAACAACACAAAAUAUAUGCGGUUCUUAGAUACAAAUUACUGUUUAUUUCAUGACAAAAAGGAUAGAUUUCUGUUUCCUUUGUUCAUAUUGUGUAUAUA
ensembl:lncRNA